rnacentral:rRNA from 1 species
CAACAGUACGUGAAACCGCAUAGAGGUAAACGGGUGGAUCCGCAAAGUCGGCCCGCGGAAUUCAGCUCGGAAGGCUGCGCGCCUGCCGCCGGGUAGGAGAUCGCAAGACUCUCCUGGCGUGGGACGCGUGCCGGCCGUGUGCACUUUCCGUGGGCAGAGCGCCACGACCGGUUUCUGGGCGGUCAGAAGGCGGCGAGGAUGGUAGGCGCGCGCCUCGGUGCGCGCUGGUAUAGCCUCGCCUGUCCCGAUCCGCCUGGGGACCGAGGAGCCGCCGUGGGCUGGGGCCGCCUCGCCCUCCCGGGACGUUCGACUGGCAGAGACUGGGUGACCGUGUCUGCCGACCGCUUCCUGGGACGGACUGGGGUGGGCCCGCCCUCACAGGGUCAGUGGCGAAUCGGUCGGCCCUCCACCCGACCCGUCUUGAAACACGGACCAAGGAGUCUAACAUGCGCGCGAGUCGUUGGGUCGUACGAAACCCGAAGGCGAAGUGAAAGCGAGGGCCGUCUCUGACGUGCUCAGGUGGGAUCCUGGUCCCUCUUCGGGCUGGGCGCACCACCGGCCCGUCUCGUCCGCGCUGU